UAUAAGGGUUCGUUUGGCUCGGCUAUAAAUAAUAACUAGCUUAUAUCAGGAACAAGUAUAAGUUUAGGUAUAAGCGAGAAUUAGGCCAAUUUGUAUUUGGAUAAAAAUUUGAUUGUUUUUAGGAAUAAAAAAAAUAAUGUUUGUACAGAUAAGAUGGAAUAAAAAAAAUAAUUGAUGAUUAUAAAUAGAAAAUAAUAACAUUACCCAUCUCAUUAUAUUUGAAUUUAAAUUUUUAAAUUUUAAAUUUAUAGCUUUAAAUUGUAAAUUUUAACUUUUAAAUUUUAAAUUUUAAAAUUAAAAUUUAAAAUUUAAAUAUUCAAAUUUAAAAAUUUAAAAAUUUUAAGUUUUAAAUUUUACAUUUUAAAUUUAAGUCCAAAUUUAAAUUUGAAAUAUAUAAAAUAUCAAAUUUAAAAUUUAAAAUUUAAAAAUUUAUAAUAUCAAAUUUAAAUUUUAAACUUU
rnacentral:lncRNA from 1 species